GACGAACCGUGCGACCGUUGUUCGGAAUCACUGGGCAUAAAGGGCGCGUAGGCGGCUCCUCAAGUCAGGGGUGAAAUCCGGCAGCUUAACUGUCGAAGUGCCUUUGAUACUGGGGAGCUCGAGGGAGGUAGGGGUGUGUGGAACUUCCGGUGGAGCGGUGAAAUGCGUUGAUAUCGGAAGGAACGCCGGUGGCGAAAGCGACGCACUGGACCUCUUCUGACGCUGAGGCGCGAAAGCCAGGGGAGCAAACGGG
rnacentral:rRNA from 1 species